GUGCUCUCUUUGACAGCACAUAUACUAAAACUGGAACGACAGAGAAGAUUAGCACAGACCCUGUGCAAGGAUGACAUGCAAAUUCGUGAAGAAAGUUAAAUUAUA